rnacentral:rRNA from 1 species
CCUACGGGUGGCUGCAGUGAGGGAUAUUGGUCAAUGGGGGAAACCCUGAACCAGCAACGCCGCGUGAGGGAAGACGGUUUUCGGAUUGUAAACCUCUGUCCUCUGUGAAGAUAAUGACGGUAGCAGAGGAGGAAGCUCCGGCUAACUGCGUGCCAGCAGCCGCGGUCAUCCGUAGGGAGCACGCGUUAUCCGGGUUUACUGGGUGUAAAGGGUGCGUAGGCGGGCUUGCAGGUCAGAAGUGAAAUCCAUGGGCGUAACCCGUGAACUGCUUUUGAAACUGUAGGGCUUGAGUGAAGUAGAGGCAGGCGGAAUUCGCGGUGUAGCGGUGAAAUGCGUAGAGAUCGUGAGGAACACCAGUGGCGAAGGCGGCCUGCUGGGCUUUAACUGACGCUGAAGCACGAAAGCGUGGGUAGCAAACAGGAUUAGAUACCCUAGUAGUC